CCUACGGGAGGCAGCAGUGGGGAAUAUUGCACAAUGGGCGAAAGCCUGAUGCAGCGACGCCGCGUGAGGGAUGGCGGCCUUCGGGUUGUAAACCUCUUUCAGUAGGGAAGAAGCGAAAGUGACGGUACCUGCAGAAGAAGCGCCGGCUAACUACGUGCCAGCAGCCGCGGUAAU
rnacentral:rRNA from 1 species